rnacentral:misc_RNA from 1 species
GGUUCUGUUUCUCCUAUUCUGUCAAAGUUUCCUGGUUUCACUGUUCGAGUCGUCGUUCGCGUGUGGAAGUCGUCGUCAUUUGCUGCUCGUGCCGUCCCUGUUUCGCUGCUCGUCGACAGGUAAACAACUCAUUUAUGUAAUCUCCUUCUCUUCUUGGUUUCAAAUGCGAUGGCUUGGGGGUAGAGAGCUUCUGUCGUACGUCUUUGGGAUUUGUUUGCCACAGUUUGGAAUGAUCUGUAUGCUUGCUUGUUUU